rnacentral:rRNA from 1 species
CCUACGGGUGGCAGCAGUAGGGAAUAUUGCUCAAUGGGGGAAACCCUGAAGCAGCAACGCCGCGUGGAGGAUGAAGGUUUUCGGAUUGUAAACUCCUUUUGUUAGAGAAGAUAAUGACGGUAUCUAACGAAUAAGCACCGGCUAACACCGUGCCAGCAGCCGCGGUAAGACGGCGGGUGCAAGCGUUACUCGGAAUCACUGGGCGUAAAGAGCGCGUAGGCGGGAUAGCAAGUCAGAUGUGAAAUCCUUUGGCUUAACCAUAGAACUGCAUUUGAAACUGUUAUUCUAGAGUAUGGGAGAGGUAGGUGGAAUUCGUGGUGUAGGGGUAAAAUCCGUAGAGAUCAAGAGGAAUACUCAUUGCGAAGGCGACCUGCUAGAACGUAACUGACGCUGAUGCGCGAAAGCGUGGGGAGCAAACAGGAUUAGAUACCCGUGUAGUC